GGUGUAUUACGGUGCUUAUCAACGAUUACACCGAACGUCACUAUUUUUUAUCGACAUUAUGCAGCCAAAUUAAAAAUAUAUACAUUUGGUCGUACAUUCCAUAAAUACGUGAGCAUAUUUAAAUCUUACGUGUUAUAUUAACCGGAACACUUGGGAUUUGAAAUGUUUACUCUAUAAGGCGCUAAAUUCAUAACACUUGAAUUUUGGUCUGUCUACAAUUACAAUAAUUUUGGUCGUCGUUUUGUGUACACAAGUGUAUUUGAAAGUUAGAAACAGUAACAAAUGAAUAAAACUGAGUAAGCCAAGAUGAGAGAGUGCCUCGUUGGGCCUAUGAGUUGGAAAGCAAGUGAUUGGCUGUUGAGGAAAGGCAUACAGCUGCUAUAGAAAAAUUAGCUGCAUCACUUACCAAGAUACAGGAAGAUAUACAUAUAUAUAUUAGUAAAUUAAAAUGAUUUUAAAUAG